AGAUAAAUAACAGAAGGCCAAAAAAGGAGAGGAGCAGUUGUUUAUAAAUUGGUGCAGCGAGAAUCUACGAUGGAUAGUUAAAAACAGUCAGGAUUUCAUCUAGUAAGACAGGUUGCAUGGCCGGAGUCCGGUUGGCACUGUGGGGUUGCUCUGGAUCCUCCAAAAAAUCUGAAGGUUAACAGAAGCACUGGGGACUUAAUUAAACAUGGAAAAAGUAGCCAUUUUGACGUAUAUCCGAGUGAAACGGCUUCUGAAAUGAAUAAAGGUAGGGCGGGACUUAAAUUUGUCCUUCAAGAAUUGAUUGGAUUGUUUGAUGUUGGGUCAUUUUGCUAAUUGCCAAUCACUGCAAUCUUUUCCCCAACUCCACCCACCUGCCAUACAAUAUGACCGGAAGUAAAGAGAGAAAAAAGAAAGAGAAGAAAAAACAACUUGAUAUAUAUCAUUAUCAUUAUCAAGUACGAGCUGGAUGGCCCCUUGCAUGGCUGACACCGCCGUCGGUGUAUGAAUGUGUGAGUGAAUGGGUGAAUGUGAGGCAACAUGUACAGCGCUUUGGAAGGCCAUAGGUCUGUUAAAAGCGCUAUAUAAAUGCAGUCCAUUUACCAUUUACCAAGUACUCAUGCAUGAUAUAAGAUUUUGGUCCUAUCGCCCAGCCCUAUUCGUGUGUAUACAAAAGCAACAAAAGCUGUGUGGUAAAACCACAAUUUACUAUAAACAUAUUUCUAAAAAAUGGAUAUCUCAUCAGCCCUUCUGGAAGGUCUCCUGCUGAAAAUAUCAGCUAAUGGCGUUUGGAAAGCCAAGAGAAGAGUGAACAAUGAUGAACUUUAUAAGCAGUUUGUGAAUGGACAAGAUUACGGUGUAAUUGUAAUAAUUCAAAGCACUACUGAAAUGGGACACAGUCGAUAAGACUGUACAGAUCCUGGGGCAAAUGACAACCAAAUCAAUGAAAACAUACACACUCCAACCAGGUGCCACACAAAUCUUUUAACAAUACUGACCGUGCCGGUGUACUGUUAAAAUUAUAACGAUUGUAACAAAGUGGCCCUGGUUAAUGAGUUAUUGAUCAAAGAUCUCUUUCAAAAACACACUUAAAACAAAGUUGCUUUGUCUUUUGAUGCAACAUUAGGAAUAACUGAUAUUACCAUUAAGUCUCUGAGACACUCCUGGAAAAACUUCCAGAUUCCUAAAGAGUAAAAAUCUCCAGAUAAUCUGUGGAUAAUGACUGCGUUUCUCCUGGGAGAUCAAUAAAUAUAUCUGUCUUUCUAUCUAUAAAAGGAAAAGAUUAGCUCACAAGGGCUUUUUCAGAGCUUUUCUUAGACCCCCUGUGCAUGAAAGAAAAAACAGAAAAAGGGGAAAACGAAUUAAAAGAAAUUGGGAAGAACUGCAAGAAUGCUUACAGGCCUGUUCUCUGUUAAUAGACCCAUUAGAGCAUCUGCUCACACAUAAUUCAACAAAUUAGUUUACAGGGAAGCUUUUUGGGUUUUUUACUAGUGGUGUGUUUCAAAUAUCACUGUUGCUAUUGUUUACUGAUAUAAGUGAUAAGUGUGAUUUAAUAUGUUAAAAUACGCUCACAAAACUGCUGAUGUCUGCUAUUAGUUUUCUAAAUUAUCAGAUCUGAUUUUCCCCUGUCUGAUCAAAUAAUUGAAACAACUAAAACAAUUCAUACUUCAAAUAUCAGAAUAUACUAUAGAGACACUUGGACUUGAGCCAGUAAAUUGUUGCUUACAAACCACACAGAACACGCUAGCAACCGCAUAACCACACGGAUAAACCACACAGAACACGCUAGCAACCACAUAACCACACGCUUAAACCACACAGAACACCCUAGCAACAACCACAGCAGUGCUCUGAAAGCCACCCAUCACCCCAGACUCACAGUGACAGGUUAUGCACAGAAAGCAUCACUUGCUCAUAAAAUGUAAACAUCUAGUUAUGCAUGUUUAGUUACAUAAUAUUUUUUCUUUCUAUUUCUAAAAAAUGUUUUUUUUCAUCAGACCUCUUUACACUAUGACAGAUGCCAAAAGUAAUUUUCUAUCUGAUCUCUAAAUCCAUAGCAAGCUGAUCUACAGUACAAUCAGUUUUAUUUUUAUCAGACCUCUAAAUCCAAUGACAGCUGAUCUGUGGUCAGUUUUGUUUUCUUUCUAUCAGAGCUCUAAAUGCAUUGUGAGCUGACUGAGAAUAAUUUUUUAUCAGACCUCUAAAUCCUAUGAGAACUGACCUAUGAUCAGUUUUGUUUUCCCUCAUCAUAAAUCUAAAUCCAAUGACAGCUGAUUUGUGGUCAGUUUCUUUCUAUCAGAGUUCUAAAGCCAUUGUGAGCUGAUCUAGGAUCUGUUUUUUAUCAGACCUCUAAAUGCAAAGACAGCUGAUCUGGGGUCAGUUUUGUUUUCUCUCUUUCAUACCUCUAACCCAUUGUGAGCUGAUCUAGGAUCAGUUUUUAUCAGACCUCUAAAUGCAAAGACAGCUGAUCUGGGGUCAGUUUUUUCUCUCUCUUUUAUACCUCUAAAUCUAUUGUAUCAUCAACUAUAUGUAAUACACUUAUUUCCCAAUAGCUAGCUUGUACAACCUAAUAAAUAAAUAAAUUAAUGAAUAAACUAAAACCUUUUUUUCGUCAACAUUCCAAAACAUGGUAAAUGUCAUUAAUACUCUUUAGUAAUAUGCUGAAACUUUGCAUUGGUUGUCGAUUGAGUCUUAAUUGCCAAAUAUGGUCGGUUUGCAAUUUUUUGCCUUUUCCCUGGCCUUAAAUAGUAUGUCAUACAGAACCGAUUGCCACUGUACGUUAGUAUUAACGACGGCAGUGGGGGCUCUGGCCUUAGUCAAACGAGUUCUGUUUCUGUUUCUAAAAUCAUCAACUAUAUGUAAUACACUUAACCAGCAAUAGUUAGCCUGCCCGGAACCGAGCUGACUAAAACCACAUUACUGUGUGACACUUGCUUUUUAUGUGAACGGCCCCUACGCUAAUAAGAUUUUGUUUCUCUCUCCCUGUCUCGUCCUCGAUCACGAGGACAAUAAGACAAACAGAUCCAGUUCCGGUAAAUGUGAAAGUCGGCACACCUCUGAUCUACUGGCUGUUCUUCAACGUGAUGUCCAGCUGAUGCCUGACCAAAGACCACCGGCAGAACCCGCUUAAUCUCCGCUUAAUCUCCUUCCGUUUCAAUGUGUAUAUAUAUAUAUCUCCCAAGGGUUUUUUCCUCCUAGGACUUUUUUUUUACUUCCCCGGCAAAAAUUCCGGGUUUUUUUUCUCCUAGGGGGUUUUUCAACCCGGGGAGGCAGCCUUUUUGGGCUUAACUUCUAUACGUUACAUUAGUAAUACAUUUGCUUAUAAUGUUGAUUUAUAGCCGCAGCAAAUUUAGCUGCUUGUGCUAUCGUGUAUUAUGUUAUGCUAUCUGUCGAUUUUCUGUGCUUUUCACUACAUCUAUUAUGUAAAGCUGCUUUGAUACAAUUACCAAAUUGUGAAAAGCGCUAUAUAAAUAAAAUUUAAUUGAAUUGA